CCCAGGGGAAGAGGUGUGUGGUACAGCUACUCUGCUUGCACAGUGAUGUGUGGGAGCUUAAAGAUGGACCUAGCAGAUAGCACUGGCUGGAAUCCAGAUGGAAGUGAGCAUACCCUACUUUGAUCUUUCUGAUGCUGUAAUUGAAUAUUUCUAGAAGACUGCAGAAAUUGAAGGUGGCAUUUAACUGCACUGUUACAGGAAUUGCAUCAUAUGUAGCCUGGAAGAAUGACAAUAAAGUACAAUGAACAUUUGAGAGACAUCUUACGGGAAGUUUUCUCAGCCUGUGCCCAAGAUCUCCAGCUACAUCCACCUUGUGGCAUCCUGAAAUAACCUGGAGGUCAGGAACUCAGUGCACAACAUAAUUCAGUAAAGAGACUGAAGAACUUCUAGCAAAAGUGUUCAAGCUAUGGG
rnacentral:lncRNA from 1 species